rnacentral:rRNA from 1 species
GACGAACGCUGGCGGCGUGCUUAACACAUGCAAGUCGAACGGAAAGGCCCUGCUUUUGUGGGUUGCUCGAGUGGCGAACGGGUGAGUAACACGUGAGUAACCUGCCCUUGACUUUGGGAUAACUUCAGGAAACUGGGGCUAAUACCGGAUAGGAGCUCCUGCUGCAUGGUGGGGGUUGGAAAGUUUCGGCGGUUGGGGAUGGACUCGCGGCUUAUCAGCUUGUUGGUGGGGUAGUGGCUUACCAAGGCUUUGACGGGUAGCCGGCCUGAGAGGGUGACCGGCCACAAUGGGACUGAGAUACGGCCCAGACUCCUACGGGAGGCAGCAGUGGGGAAUAUUGCACAAUGGGCGGAAGCCUGAUGCAGCAACGCCGCGUGCGGGAUGACGGUCUUCGGGGUGUAAACCGCUUUCGCCUGUGACGAAGCGUGAGUGACGGUAAUGGGUAAAGAAGCACCGGCUAACUACGUG